AGCGAACGCUGGCGGCAGGCUUAACACAUGCAAGUCGAGCGGGCGUAGUAAUACGUCAGCGGCAGACGGGUGAGUAACGCGUGGGAACAUACCUUUUGGUUCGGAACAACACAGGGAAACUUGUGCUAAUACCGGAUAAGCCCUUACGGGGAAAGGAUUAUCGCCGAAGAUUGGCCGCGUCUGAUUAGCUAGUUGGUGAGGUAACGGCUCACCAAGGCGACGAUCAGUAGCUGGUCNGAGAGGAUGAUCAGCCACAUUGGGACUGAGACACGGCCCAAACUCCUACGGGAGGCAGCAGUGGGGAAUCUUGCGCAAUGGGGCGAAAGCCUGACGCAGCGACGCCGCGUGAGGGAUGACGGCCU
rnacentral:rRNA from 1 species